rnacentral:tRNA from 1 species
UUCCCUGUGGCUCAGUUGGGAGAGCAUGGCACUUGCAACGCCAGUAUUGUGGGUUUGAUUCCCACAAGGGACC